GUAGUAUGUCAGAUGGCAUAAAGGCCAGUAAGAUAAAUCAUGCAGGAGGGAGGGCAGGGACGGAUGUGGGAGCUAAUUUAAUAAAUGCCCAGGGAAGACCUUGCUGGGGCGGACCUUUGAAUAGAGAUGUGAGGAGCAGAGAUAGCUGGUUCCCGGCAGAAGAAACGGCAGGCGUAAAGGUCCAGCGGUGGGAACUCUCCUCCUGCCGCCUCGCUGAUGAACUCCAAGGCAGGGGAGUUCAUGGGCUUUCCUGGAGACAAGAGCUCAAGCCAUCAAAUGAAAAAGACACAACCCAGAUGUCCUGCAGAGGUGAAUGUUUAAACAAACACGCGCACGUCUCUGUCGUGGAACCACG
ensembl:lncRNA